rnacentral:rRNA from 1 species
GGAAUAUUGCACAAUGGGGGAAACCCUGAUGCAGCGACGCCGCGUGAGUGAUGAAGUAUUUCGGUACGUAAAGCUCUAUCAGCAGGGAAGAUAAUGACGGUACCUGACUAAGAAGCCCCGGCUAACUACGUGCCAGCAGCCGCGGUAAUACGUAGGGGGCAAGCGUUAUCCGGAUUUACUGGGUGUAAAGGGAGCGUAGGCGGCAUGGCAAGUCAGAAGUGAAAGCCCGGGGCUCAACUCCGGGAUUGCUUUUGAAACUGUCAAGCUUGAGUGGCGGAGAGGUAAGUGGAAUUCCUAGUGUAGCGGUGAAAUGCGUAGAUAUUAGGAGGAACACCAGUGGCGAAGGCGGCUUACUGGACGAUAACUGACGCUGAGGCUCGAAAGCGUGGGGAGCAAACA